CAAAUACUCCCUCCGUCCAACAAAAGAUGUCUCAACUUUUACUAAAUUUGAAUGCAUCUAUAUACUAAGUCAUGUGUAGAUACUUUCAAAUUUUGACAAACUUAAGACAUUUUUUGUUGAAUGGAAGGAGUAGAAU
rfam:Brachypodium distachyon strain Bd21 chromosome 5, whole genome shotgun sequence.